rnacentral:rRNA from 1 species
UACAGAGGUCCCAAGCGUUGUUCGGAUUCACUGGGCGUAAGGGGUGCGUAGGUGGUUGGGUAAGUCUAAUGUGAAAUCUCCGAGCCUAACUCGGAAACUGCAUCGGAUACUAUCUAGCUAGAGGGUUGGGGGGGGGACUGGAAUACUUGGUGUAGCAGUGAAAUGCGUAGAUAUCAAGUGGAACACCAGUGGCGAAGGCGAGUCCCUGGACAACUCCUGACACUGAGGCACGAAAGCUAGGGGAGCAAACGGG